AUACUUACUUGGGACAGGAGAUACCGUGAUCAUUUAAGGGGGUUUUUCCAAGGCGAGGCUCACAUUGCACUCCGUGGCGCGACCCUUUGCAUUAACCCAAAUUUUGGGGUUACUCGAGUGCGCAAUUUUUGUUAGUUGGGACUGCGUUCGCGCUAUCCCCC